rnacentral:rRNA from 1 species
UACGUAGGGCGCAAGCGUUAUCCGGAAUUAUUGGGCGUAAAGAGCUCGUAGGCGGUUUGUCGCGUCUGCCGUGAAAGUCCGGGCUCAACUCCGGAUCUGCGGUGGGUACGGGCAGACUAGAGUGAUGUAGGGGAGACUGGAAUUCCUGGUGUAGCGGUGAAAUGCGCAGAUAUCAGGAGGAACACCAAUGGCGAAGGCAGCUCGCUGGACGGUACUGACGCUGAGGCGCGAAGCGUGGGAGCAAACAGG